AAAGCGAUAAAGAUCGUUUUGGGCUUAAAGAAACGUUCGGGUUUAAUUAGGCCCAUUGGGCUUUUAUUCAAGCAUUGGAUGACUUGAAAUAACAAAAGCCCAAAGCCCAAAAACAACACAAAGGGGCCGGCCACUUUAGGUGAGGAAAGGUGAGAUAUUUAGUCAAGUGUUGACUAGGUUUUCUUUUUGUCUAUAUAAGCAACUUUAUAGAGAUAAAGUUCAUUAGGGUUUUUGUGAGUUUUGAACAACAAAAGAGGCAAAAGAAAAUAGCUCUCUUGAACCACAAAAACCGGCCACCAAAGGGGGUUUUUACUAACAUCUCUUACACCCUUUUGGUUAU
rnacentral:lncRNA from 1 species